ACCUUAGACCCAACAGGGUAUUGAGCUGGCAACGUCCCAUAGGUUCACUUCACGACCUUGACGACGGUCAAUAGGAAGAGCGGCAACGUCGGUUGUAAUAUGUCAAAUCAUAAAUAAGGCUUCUAUCAAAUACUCAUAACAAUGGAGGUACACGAGUGUACUUUGUUUACCGUUGUUUACUUUUCUUGACGUAAGUGAAGACGCUAUUUCAAGAAAUUUGAAGUGCUAAUUCAUUAAAAUAUGUACGCUUUCAUGACUGUGCCUCAACUUAAAGUUGAGGUUCGUAAUAUAAAUGCGACAAUGGCCGGAAAAAAGGCUAAUUUGAUAGAAAGAUUGCAAUCUAAUGACCGGAAUAAAAAUUUUGGUGUUGACUGCGAGAUCCAAGAGGAGAUCGCAUAUCUGAGUCCAGCCACUGAUACUUUCAGAGACAUAAUUGCGGACACUUCUUUACCAAUGAUUACGAGACAAGCAAUACAGGAAUAUUUUGAAAGUUAUGUACCCAUAUGUAAUGAUUAUAAUCUUAGGCAGUUGUUUACAAAGAUGACAGUGUAAAUUUUAUGUAUUUAAAUUGAUAUAAUACUCAGCAUAAAGGACAACUCCUGUACGAAUUUCGACAUCUUGUGACUGCCCGCUAUUCCACAGAUGGCAUUUAUACCCACUAGAGGAGACAAUGUAAAGCCAGUAUGAAAAAAAUGGUAUACUUUGUGGAUAUAAAAUUAAGUAAAGAUGGAGUAAUUGAAGAAUGCCAUUGCGAUUGUGCUGCAGGCAGUGGUACUCAAGCAUGUUGCAAACAUGUCUCUGUAUUGUUGGAUGGUACACAAAAAAAAUAUUAAAUUGCAUCUGUCAAGUACUCAAAAAUUAAUGACAUUCAAUAGACCAAGAAAGUAUUUUAUAAUUCACCCAUUGCAGUUCAAAAUUUACCCAACAAGAGAUUGACAUCUUUUUACUUAUAACACACUAAAAGAUACUUACUGAUAUUAUGGACAGUUAUGCUGAUUAUGUGAAAAUUUUAGUAAUGGGAUAUGAUGAAAGCUCAAUACCUUUAUUACAGACAUGUGAACCCGCAAAUCCACAUGGCAUUGAAUGGGAUCGUUACACCUAUGUAGAUAGGACUCCAAUAGAUAUUUUACUAGAGAAGCUAUUAUUAAAAAUAUUAUAUCUGAACAAAUUCAGGAAGUGAGAAGAAUACAAGAGCCCAAAGUGAUUCCUCUGAGUGGCAUGAAAGAUCAUGCAGGAUUACUGCCAGUAUGUUUCAUUUAGUGUGCCACAGUAAAGCAUAUAAGUACCAAAAAUAUAUGUAAUCGAUAUGAUUUUGGCCCUAAAGCUGUGCAGACUAUGUUAGUUGUGCAUAGUAAAAUCCAAGAAACUAUUUCCAUUGCCAAAUAUGAUAGAGAUUAUGGACUAAAAAUAAAAAAAGUGGAUUCAUUAUAUCAUUUGAAUAUCCUUUUCUGGCUGUUUCUCCAGACGGUAUAUUGGGUAAAGAUACUAUUGUUGAGGUUAAGUGUCCAUAUGCUGCUAGAUAUUAUAAAAUAACCUCUGUGACUG